UAAUAAGAACGCCUGGUAACUUUUUUGCCGUAUAUAUCUGAAUGAUUUAAAUUUUUAUUAUUGCGCACUGUGAGAUACAGUUCUUAUCUAUUAUGAAUUUAAUUAGAACUCAGGAAGAAAGAAAUGACAGUUCUUGACAGUGAAUUUGCGAUAUCGAGUUCAAGUAAUUCAAUGAUUUUUAUUAUCUCCAUUUCGCAAUUUUUUUUUAAUUUCGCGAAAAAGAUUUAUUUCUCGGAGAAAAGAAUACAUCUACGUUAUUAAACUUGUUACUGGAAAUCAGCGUUUUAUCGAUCGAGGACGACGUGAAUGUAAAUGUCGGAAUUAACUCGCUGACAUCUAGAAAUGUUCUGAACCAUUUCCAGAGUUAAAGUUUCUUCUUGUUGCACGGAGAUGUAUUUUCUCGCUAGCUACGCCCAAUGUCUGUCGCGGCGCUCAACAAGUUAAAUCUUAUCAGCUCGCCGGUUUGACUUUAGCGUCAUUAUAGCGGUUACCUCUUAAAUUGGCAUUUGCGCCUGACGCGGUAAAUAACUUUGUUAGCGCCGAAACUCUGAGGUAGGAGCACUUUUAUCCCUUCAACAGCUGCAUUGUUCCGUAAACUGAUAUGCGAGUCCGUGCCCGUAAAAGCAGAAAUUACUUCCCUUGAUACGUGGGACUUUUAAUUUAAUUGCCUCUACGGCACGGGAAUGCGUUGCACGCUCUUAAAUUGAUCCUAUAUAGAAAUGUUGAAUAAAAAAAACCUCGCGCAAAUAUCUCGGCCAUUUCUGAGGCACGUGGCUGACGUGUACCGCGUUACAAUACCUCCGGAAGGGCUUUAUGACGAACGACUCGGCCGUUUGCAAGGACGAAGCGUGAAAUUCAUAAAUACUCGAGCUGCCACGUUAAUGUUAAUUUAGUUUGUCGAGAGAGUGUCGAGUAAAUAAAAUAAUAAAAAGAACAGAGAAAAUUUCGCGCGCGUCGGGCGUCUUAUUAACGGACUUUUCAUCACAUUUAUGUUUCACAAUGUCUCACUCGUCUGUUUACAUCGACUCAAAGUAUAUACGCAAAAGAUUCAGUCAUCAAAGUCCUGUCAGACCUUUGAUACGCAUAUCCUUGAGACGUAUCGUCUGCAGAGCGACGGGACGACGAUAAAGUGGCACGUCGCGAGCACAGGAUACGGCGGAGCGUAUUUUUCCGCUUUAAUGCAAUCGCAAACAAAGGAUUGAGUAACCGAAAGAGCACGAGAAGAAACCCAUUCCUUCGCUCCUACCUGAAGCUGGCUGCGCCAGGCGACGAAGCAUCCCCGAAGAAUGCAUCGGUCGGUUCCUCGAACGAGCGCUCGCGUUAUCCCGUAAGGUGGGCCGUGAGAGGGUUGGGGGUUGCGCGAGAGAGGCGUCGGAGAGAGGGACGUGGAAGGGGUGGCGGCAGCGGUGGUGCGGCGGACUAGGAAGGUGGAAGGGUGGCUAGGGGGCACAGGGGGCGCAGUGUGAGCGCAACACGAUGCUAUAAGGGCGGGUACGCGGCGAAGUCUCCGCAGUGAGCGUCGCGACGCCUCCGCGGAGAGUGUCGCAUGGAUCGCACGAUCGGUGAUCGCCGGUACACGAGGCGUCCCGCUCUCGUCGCGUAUUAUACCGGCGGUGUGCAGUGCCGAAGGAGUUGUUUCGCUUCUAUCGAGCUACGAGCCACCCCGAAGAGAAGAAGGGCGGCGCGUCGGUGUCCCGUACCGUAGAAGCUGCAGCUGCCGUUUCGAUCCGCCCGGAAGAGCUCUCUCACUCUCCCUCUCUCUCUCUCUCUCUCUCUCUCUCUCUUUCUCUUUCUUUCUCUUUCUCUCUCUCUCUCUCUCUCUCUGUCUCUCUUUGGAUGACCCAGGAAGGACUCCGCGCGCUGGGGCAACCAGAUAUCACACACGGAGGAAAUGGCAGGAAGAGGCGCGGCGUUGUUUGGCCAUUGAGGACUACUCAUCUUUGGUCAUAAAAGGAGUCUGGCGAAUAAACCGUGAAAGUGCCAAUAUCUCGCGAAUAAAA
rnacentral:lncRNA from 1 species